CAGGCUUAAAUGGAACUUAAGUGAUGGAUAAACCUAGGGUGGCUUUUGCAGGUGACUGAAUUUUUUCCAAGAUGCUGUGAAAAGAUGUAAGCUUUGUGGUGGCCAGGUGAUUGCUGGGGCCCUUGCCGGGAACCCAGAACGUUAGGUAGGUUUCACUCCUGCUUGAACAUCACCAAAGCAAAAUUGUACCACCUGCUACAAAAAGACCUGAAAUACAAAGCAGCAUGUAUUCAUCGUAUUACUCCAUUCAUUUGAAAAGAUAUUCCCUUGGGAA